UGUGGGAGCUGUGUAACUUCAUUAGAAAUUUACCUAUGAAAAAGCCUCUAUGUUUAUAUCCUUGCUACCUCGAAGCAUAAAGAAGCAUUGAAAGUUACCUCUGGAGUCUUUAUUCAUUGAGUAAGCUAUCUGUUAAAGUGAUCAUUCAACCUGCUGCACACAUCCUUACAGACUGGGUCUACAAGAAGCUUGUCGCAGGCCAAGAAGUAAGAACGUGAAGGCAGAUGCUCUAUCUCUGAGUUUUUGUGCAUUUAAGCCUAUGGACGCACCGCCUGAAACCAUAUUGCCAGCUAAUGUCUUUUUAGCAGCUGUGUCCCAAGAUCUUACGGCUCUUAUUAAGGCAGAACAACAUCUGGCCCGACAUCCACACCAUUGGAUAGGUUGUUUGUCCCCGAACAAUUCCAUCUCCGGCUGUUGGCGGGAUCUGCAAAAGGACUUGCAAUGACGUCACCGUGGAUGAGACUAUAAUGCAACAAAAGUAAAUCCUCCUGGGUGCUGCACUUCCUAGAAGAACGUCAAAAUCCUAGGACUGCAGAUGCUAUAUAGCAGUCAACAUAGUAUAAACCAACAAAAGAUGCUUCACAAGAAGAACAUUUUUACUUUACUCUUAAAAACAAGUCAAAGCAGCACUCAUCAAUAAAAUAUUUAUACACCAUGUUCCAAAUUAUUAUGCAAAUUUUAU